CCUACGGGUGGCUGCAGUGGGGAAUAUUGCGCAAUGGGCGAAAGCCUGACGCAGCGACGCCGCGUGAGGGAUGAAGGUCUUCGGAUCGUAAACCUCUGUCAGCAGGGAAGAACGGUCACUGUGCUAAUCAGCAGUGAAUUGACGGUACCUGCAAAGGAAGCACCGGCUAACUCCGUGCCAGCAGCCGCGGUAAUACGGAGGGUGCGAGCGUUAAUCGGAUUUACUGGGCGGAAAGCGCUCGUAGGCGGUAUGUCAAGUCAAUGGUGAAAUCCCCGCGCUCAACGUGGGAACUGCCUUUGAAACUGGCAAACUUGAGUGUGGGAGAGGAUAGUGGAAUUCCAGGUGUAGGAGUGAAAGCCGUAGAUAUCUGGAGGAACAUCAGUGGCGAAGGCGACUAUCUGGCACAUAACUGACGCUGAGGAGCGAAAGCGUGGGUAGCAAACAGGAUUAGAUACCCGAGUAGUC
rnacentral:rRNA from 1 species